ensembl:lncRNA
AGUGCAGCUGGUUGCCAGCAGGUUUAACUGUGAAGCUCUAAAUCUACCAGUCAGUGUGAUGGAUUGUAAAAGGGUUACAAUCAAAGGGGAAGUCAUUAGUCCCUUCUGAGGAUUUCCUCUUUGAGUACCACCAAAUCAUUUUUCUGGCUCCUUAAGUAGGUAGUGCAGCUCCCAGAAAAGGCAAUGGAACAGAUUGACCACUGAUGUCACUUCACAGAUACAGCAACCUCAUUGGCACGAAACUUCAGUUGUUUAUUUCUUUGGAUCAAUUUGCCCAUCUCCAGCUGUCUCAAAAUGCCUUCAGAAGAAUGGGAACAUUCAUUUUAGCAACAAUAGUACUGCGAAAUUAUAAAAUCUAAGACUGGUUACUAAUUAUCCUUGUCUGGAAUAGAAGAAAUUAUAGAAGCCAUUAAAAUGCAGAGGACAAGGAAAUAAAUGUGGAUGUCUCCCAUUUUAAAAUGCUCAAGAAAAAAGAAUGUAAUUCAAAAGAUGGGGCUUCUAUUUGCAGAUUUAGAAGAACGGAAAACCUAAAUAUUUCAGAUAAGACUAAGAAACCUAGGCAUGAUGUUGAUAGAACUUAGGGUAAUUAAAACCAACCACAAUGAAAAGAAACUUGGAGUACCUAAAAACAUCACAGCCAUAGAAUCAUGGAACAUCCUGAGUUGGAAGGGACCCAUAAGAAUCUUCAAAUCCAGCUCCUGACACCACCAUCCAAAAAUCAGACUAUAUGACUGAGAGUGUUAUCCAGUCAUGUCCCAAAAUCAGGCAGCUCGGUGCCAUGGCCAUACCCAACCUGACCCUCCCUGUCACACAUCCACGCUGUUCCCUUGGGUUCUGCCACUGCUCACCAGAGAGAGGAGAUCACUGUCAGGAUGAAAUUAAAGGAAGCUGAUCAGCGUGUGGUGGCCGCCAACUCAUAAACAGGUAAAAUAUGGAUAAUGGUUGAGAUAAGUAAUACUACAAACAUGACCAUGUGAUAUUUGAGAUGAGCACCACACCCUCACCUGAAGGACAGCAUUCGAUUCUGUUGGCAGAAGGAAUUUGGAAAUAAUUUGCUUAGAAAAGCAGUGAAGAAAUGAGUCAGAAAAAUGGUAGGCAGGAAGAAUACGAAUAGAAGGGAAUGUAUGAAUGUUUUUAGAGAAAUAAUGAGAAAUCUUGUACUUCUGCAUACUUUUAUUGCAAGAGCAAACAUUGUAAAUCAGGAGACAUAAAAUCCGAUCUGUUGGGAAGCGUUUCACUGAGGAGCUGCUUGUCUUGGGAUGCUGCCUGUUUUCUGGAUAAAUGCACUGAGCACUGGAGAAGAGGGAAAAAGCCCUCUAAAAAUUGUUUGCCCUGGUGUGAAUGAUUGUCAUCCUCAAAUUUAUGUCUUGAAUCUAGAGCAGGCCCUGGGGAACUGUAAAUAUCUGAAAGGCUUUCUAAGCACCAUAUGGUGGUUAUGAAAGGCUCUAACACAGGCCCAGUUCUGAGUCAGAAGAAUGGAAAUGAGGAGGGCUAAAUCUUGGAAAGCAGGGUGUUCGUGAUUAUGAAACCAAAAGUGGCAGACAGACUUAAGCCCUCUACACUUCAGCAACACUUGCUCUCUAUCUAUUUAUAAUUCAUUUUGCUAGAGGGGCAUUAUUCAAGUGAGAAAAUACUCUUCCGCUCCAGCUUGGGAGUGAAGGCACUGUUGUAAGAAAAGAAAAGCAAAUUGAGCUAUUUUAAGUGUCUGAAGAGGCACUGAAUCCAGCCAUGUACUUGCAAAAGGUUCUGCCUUUGCUGUUGCCUUGCUUCCCAUGCUGUGGGAGUGGUGCCUGUUAUCUAGCAUCUCCUUGAACAGGCAGCUCUGCAAAACCUGCGAUGUAUUGCUCUGAUAAAGCAAAGCCUGAUAUCAUGCAACUACCCACACGAGUGCUGCUAAGAUGUUUUGGGGUAUAUUGAUUAAAGCAGAGAAUUCUUUGGGGGCAUCUGUGUUGUGCCAGAGGAUUGCUUUCCCAGCGAUCUCCCUCUCCAAGCAGGACAGAACUGCCUUGCUGUAUGCCUCCCCAAUGGCAUUCCCACCUCCUUGUAUCCUUUCAUUGCUGCUCCAGCUCCAGCGGUCCCCUCAUAUGAGUGCUGUGGCAUUUGUGUUUAACUGCCCACAUCCCUCUGAGCAGGCCAGGACCUGCAAAGCAUCACUUAUUUGUUUGUGACAUUCCUCUGACAAGCUUGUGCCUGCUCCCCUGUUAGGGCACCGUGCUGCACCAUGGUGUGUGGCACACGGCUGGGGACUGAGCAACACAGCUCUGCCUGCUCUGCCUGCUUCUUUCGGGCUGCUGGGGCGUGGGAGAGGGAGCCCAGGGCAGAGAGGAAGGGGGCUUAUUCCUUCUCACUGUUAUUUGAUAUGAUGAGAGGGAAUGGCCUCAAGUUGUGCCAGGGGAGGUUCAGGUUGAGUAUUGGGGAAAACUUCUCUGAAAGUGUGGUUGAGCAUUGGCGUGAGCUGCCCAGGGAGGUGCUGGAGCCACUGUCCCAGGAGCUGUUCAAGAAAUGUGGAGAUGUGGCACAGAGGGGACAUGAAUAGCAGGCAAUAUUUUGGUGGUAGGUGGAUGGUUGGACUAGAUGAUCUUACAGGUCUUCUCCAACCUUAAUGAUGCUAUGAUACUAUGAUAUAGCCAAAAAAAAAAAAGUAUUUGCCACACUGGAAAAAUGCAUAUCCAAGCAGAGGUGAUUUUCUUGCUGUGCGAGUCCCCCCUGUCUACUUCAUUAAGUCCUUUGGUGCAAAUAAUCUUCAGGACAACCAGGUAUCUUUCAAUAGAUAACAGUGGAAUCUUUUCUUUUUCCAACAAUCCUUAUUUCGUAAUUAAUCCAAAGGGAUCCGUGCCUGAUAGCAAGGUUUGGCACCGGGUAGUUAAUCCUGAUGCAAAUACUGAGAGCUCAGCGAGAAUAGCCAGCUUCCAUGGGCAGGUUUCAGUGUGGAGAACAGGGGCACAUUUUUCUUUCCCUGUGGUGCAGAUCAGGGAUGCCCAUCUCCUGAGCACAGAUACUGUUUCAAUUACUUACUGAAGUUGGACUGUAUUGUUAGCACUGGAAUAACAUUUUAGAAAAUAAAAGUGCUUAAACAACAGAUCUUGAAGAAUUCCCCACUGAGGUAUUGUUUUACUGCCUUAUAUAGAGCAGAUCUGCCUCACAAAUGGAAUUGCCCAGGUUCAGCUGUAGCUGGGGAGUACACAAAAGGGAAGAAUUAGGACUUUGUUUUAAAAAUUAAAAUAUAUAUAGUUUUAUAAUUGGUUUUCAUUAACAUUUUUAACAAAUAUCUACAAUAUUUAAAAAAUAAAAAAGUAAGUUGAGUUCAUCUAUACAACAGCUCAGUGGAAAUUUUGUGCAAAGUAUUCUAUUUUUCAAGUUCAUUCAAACUUGUAAUGAAAUGAACUAAAGAAUGUUCCAUGCCCUGUUGUCAAAGGCUGCCAAAAAUUAAUUACUGCGCCCCUCUGAUCUGCUGAUGUGUGACCUGAAAGCCCCAUGUUUUAAUUACUUUUCCAGCUUAUAAUUUGGACGUUGGUUUUGUUGCAUUACGCCCUUGUUCACAGAAGCAUGUUAAAAAUAAAGAUAAUAUGACAUAU